UUAUUUGUGCAGGGGCAGUGUCGUAGCUGAUGAGGUUAAUCUGAGGCGUGAUUAUUGCUAAUUGAAG
rnacentral:snRNA from 1 species